UAUGGUUUCCUUGGUACACACUGAAACCUGAUCUGAGGCUCUGUCAGGCUGAUGAUCCUGGGGAGUGAUCUGCUUCAUUCGAUAUGGCUGGAGGAUUUAAGUAACAACCAAUGAACACUUUAACAAAAGGACUCAAUUUAUGGUUUCAACAGCUUCUGUCUGUCAAGUGUGAAGGAUUUCACUCUACCAAACGGAAGAAUGAAAAAGAUAAAAGCCUAUUAGAACAAAUGAAAAGGAGUAACAAUCAUGAUGAUGGACGGUCAGGCUUGUCGAGAAGUAACUUUGUUUCUGGACAAUGAAUGGCUAGAUUCCAAGUCUGCAAUCAGGGAUAGUUUUGAAAUUCUGUACAAUAAAAUCUCAGAAAU